rnacentral:rRNA from 1 species
UUCAAGAGUACGUGAAACCGUCCAGGGGUAAACCUGCGAAACUCGAAUGAACGAACGGGGAGAUUCAUCGUCAUUCCUCGGCGCAACGGCGCAGGUUAGAUGCUCUCGGCCCUCGGCCGUGGGCACUGCCCGUGUCGUUCGCGCUCCGGGGACGGCGUGCACUUCUCCCUUAGUAAUACAUCGCGACCCGUUCGAUGUCGGUCUAAGUGCCUCCCGGGAGUCUGGAAGCUUCGGCAACGCGGCGACCAGACCGGCGGGUGCACCGACCGGCCGUCGGACGGUAGUUGUAACGAAACGCUCACGCGCUCGCGCGCGUCCGGCCCGACGCAAGGCAACGUCGUAUCCCGUGUCCUGCCCGUGUGCGGACAUGGGUGCGGCGCGCCUGUUGUCGCCGCCGUGCUGUCUCGGACUGUGUGCGUAUCCGUCUGCGAUGAUUCAGUUUCGGGCACUCGCAGGACCCGUCU